rnacentral:rRNA from 1 species
UACGUAGGGGGCAAGCGUUGUCCGGAUUUAUUGGGCGUAAAGAGCGUGUAGGCGGCUUUACAGGUCCGUUGUGAAAACUCGAGGCUCAACCUCGAGACGCCGGUGGAAACCGUAAAGCUAGAGUCCGGAAGAGGAGAGUGGAAUUCCUGGUGUAGCGGUGAAAUGCGCAGAUAUCAGGAAGAACACCCGUGGCGAAGGCGGCUCUCUGGGACGGUACUGACGCUGAGGAGCGAAAGCAUGGGGAGCGAACAGG